UUUGGAAUCAAAAAUGGGGUGUUUCAGCCCAAAGAAAUGGGGUUCUUCAACACCAAAAUUGGGGCGUUUUCAGCCAAACAAUGGGUCUUCAAUGCAAAAAAUGGGGGGUUUGAACCCAAAAAUGGGGAGUUUGGAUCCAAAAAUGGGGGAUUUGAAGCUCAAAAUGGGCGUUUACAGCCCAAAAAUGGGGAGUUUGGACCUAAAAAUGGGGGUUUUCAGCCCAAAAAUGAGGGGUUUCAAUGCAGAAAUGGGGGGUUUCGACCCAAAAAUGGGGGUUUGGACUUAAAAAUGGGGAGUUUCAAUGCAAAAAUGGGGGGGUUGGACCCCAAAAUGGGGGAUUUCAGCCCAAAAAUGGGGGUUUCAAUGCAGAAAUGGGGGUUUGGACCCAAAAAUGGGGGUUUUUAACCCAAAAAUGGGGGUUUGAACCCAAAAAUGGGGGUUUGGACUUAAAAAUGGGGGGUUUCAAUGCAGAAAUGGGGGGUUUGGACCCAAAAAUGGGGGUUUUCAGCCCAAAAAUGGGGAGUUUGAACCCAAAAAUGGGGGGUUUCAGCCCAAAAAUGGGGGGUUUGGACCCAAAAAUGGGGAGUUUGAACCCAAAAAUGGGGGUUUGGACUUAAAAAUGGGUGUUUUCAGCCCAAAAAUGGGGAGUUUGGACCCAAAAAUGGGGGGUUUCAGCCCAAAAAUGGGGAGUUUCAACCCAAAAAUGGGGGUUUUCAGCCCAAAAAUGGGGGAUUCAUCCCAAAAAUGGGGGGUUUCGACCUAAAAAUGGGGGGUUUCAACCCAAAAAUGGGGGAUUGGACCUAAAAAUGGGGAGUUUGAACCCAAAAAUGGGGGGCUUCAACCCAAAAAUGGGAGUUUGGACCCCAAAAUGGGGAGUUUUCAGCCCAAAAAUGGGGGGUUUCAAUGCAGAAAUGGGGGGUUUGAACUCAAAAAAUGGGGGUUUGGAUCCAAAAAUGGGGGUUUUCAGCCCAAAAAUGGGGGUUUCGACCCAAAAAUGGGGGUUUUCAGCCCAAAAAUGGGGGUUUCGACCCAAAAAUGGGGGUUAUGGGGGGUUUCAACCCAAAAAUGGGGGGUUUGGACCCAAAAAUGGGGGGUUUGGACUUAAAAAUGGGGAGUUUCAAUGCAGAAAUGGGGGGUUUGAACCCAAAACUGGGGAGUUUGAACCCAAAAAUGGGUGUUUUCAGCCCAAAAAUGGGGGUUUGAACCCAAAAAUGGGGGUUUUCAGCCCAAAAAUGGGGGGUUUCAGCCCAAAAAUGGGUGUUUGAACCCAAAAGUGGGGAGUUUGGACCCCAAAAUGGGGUUUUUCAGCCCAAAAAUGGGGGGUUUCAAUGCAGAAAUGGGGGGUUUGAACCCAAAAAUGGGGGUUUUCAGCCAAAAAUGGGGGGUAUGGACCUUAAAAUGGGGGUUUUCAGCCCAAAAAUGGGGAUUUACAGCCCAAAAAUGGGGGGUUUGGACCCAAAAAUGGGGGGUUUGGACCCAAAAAUGGGGAUUUUCAGCCCAAAAAAUGGGGAGUUUGGACCCAAAAAUGGGGGUUUGACCCAAAAAUGGGGGUUUUCAGCCCCAAAAAUGGGGAGUUUGAACCCAAAAAUGGGGGAUUUGAAGCUCAAAAUGGGCGUUUACAGCCCAAAAAUGGGGAGUUUGGACCUAAAAAUGGGGG
rnacentral:lncRNA from 1 species